rnacentral:rRNA from 1 species
AAAGACUUGACGGUACUUCACACCAACCUAGAGGAGCCUGUCCAAUAACCGAUACUCCACGAUUAACCCCACCCACCCUAGCCUUUACAGUCUAUAUACCGCCGUCGCCAGCCCACCUUGUGAAAGAAAUAAAGUGAGCCAAAUAGACUUAACCACUAACACGACAGGUCGAGGUGUAACUUAUGGGUGGGUAAAAGAUGGGCUACAUUUUCUAACACAGAACACACGAACAAACUGUGAAAUCAGAAACUGAAGGCGGAUUUAGCAGUAUGAUAAGAAUAGAAUACUUA